rnacentral:pre_miRNA from 1 species
UGGGAAGAUCGUUUAUCAUGACUGUAAACAGGAGGGGCCCAAGGAUUUAAGCCACUCCUGUGUUGACAUUCAUGAUGUUUGACUUU